ACGCUCGACACCUACGGGAGGCGGCAGUGGGGAAUAUUGCACAAUGGGGGAAACCCUGAUGCAGCGACGCCGCGUGGAGGAAGAAGGUCUUCGGAUUGUAAACUCCUGUUGUUGGGGAAAAAGAGGAUGGUACCCAACAAGGAAGUGACGGCUAACUACGCGCCAGCAGCCGCGGUAAUCUGAGCGGGCUGGCAAGGC
rnacentral:rRNA from 1 species